rnacentral:rRNA from 1 species
CUAGUAUAAGCAUUAUACAGCGAAACUGCGAAUGGCUCAUUAAAUCAGUUAUCGUUUAUUUGAUAGUACCUUACUACUUGGAUAACCGUGGUAAUUCUAGAGCUAAUACAUGCUAAAAACCCCGACUCACGAAGGGGUGUAUUUAUUAGAUUAAAAACCAAUGCCCUUCGGGGCUCUUUGGUGAUUCAUAAUAACUUUUCGAAUCGCAUGGCCUUGCGCCGGCGAUGGUUCAUUCAAAUUUCUGCCCUAUCAACUUUCGAUGGCAGGGUCUUGGCCUGCCAUGGUUACAACGGGUAACGGAGGGUUAGGGCUCGACCCCGGAGAAGGAGCCUGAGAAACGGCUACUACAUCCAAGGAAGGCAGCAGGCGCGCAAAUUACCCAAUCCCGAUUCGGGGAGGUAGUGACAAUAAAUACUGAUACAGGGCUCUUUUGGGUCUUGUAAUUGGAAUGAGUACAAUUUAAAUCCCUUAACGAGGAACAAUUGGAGGGCAAGUCUGGUGCCAGCAGCCGCGGUAAUUCCAGCUCCAAUAGCGUAUAUUAAAGUUGUUGCAGUUAAAAAGCUCGUAGUUGAACCUUGGGCCUGGCUGGCCGGUCCGCCUCACCGCGUGCACUGGUUCGGCCGGGCCUUUCCCUCUGGGGAACCUCAUGGUCUUCACUGAUCGUGAUGGGGAACCAGGACUUUUACUGUGAAAAAAUUAGAGUGUUCAAAGCAGGCCUAUGCUCGAAUACAUUAGCAUGGAAUAAUAAAAUAGGACGUGUGGUUCUAUUUUGUUGGUUUCUAGGACCGCCGUAAUGAUUAAUAGGGACAGUCGGGGGCAUCAGUAUUCAAUUGUCAGAGGUGAAAUUCUUGGAUUUAUUGAAGACUAACUACUGCGAAAGCAUUUGCCAAGGAUGUUUUCAUUAAUCAGGAACGAAAGUUAGGGGAUCGAAGACGAUCAGAUACCGUCGUAGUCUUAACCAUAAACUAUGCCGACUAGGGAUCGGACGGUGUUACUUAUUGACCCGUUCGGCACCUUACGAGAAAUCAAAGUCUUGGGUCU